rnacentral:rRNA from 1 species
GACGAACGCUGGCGGCGUGCUUAACACAUGCAAGUCGAACGAAGUGGCGCACGGGUGAGUAACGCGUAAUCAACCUGCCCUUCAGAGGGGGACAACAGUUGGAAACGACUGCUAAUACCGCAUACCGGCGGAGGGGAUUGCGUCUGAUUAGCUAGUUGGAGGGGUCACGGCCCACAAAGGCGAUGAUCAGUAGCCGGUCGGGGAGGAUGAACGGCCACAUUGGUACGGAGACACGGCCCAGACGCCUACGGGAGGCAGCAGUGGGGAAUCUUCCGGAAUGGACGAAAGUCGGACUGAGCAACGCAGCGGGAGUGAUGACGGCCUUCGGGUGGGAAAGCUCUGUUAAUCGGGACGCGGUACCGGAAUAGAAAGCCACGGCUAACUACGGGCCAGCCGCCGCGGUAAUAC